CUGACUAACCUCGAAAAAGUAAAAGAAGAAGAAGAGAUUCUCCAAAAGACGCGCCAGGACUUUUCUGCUUGUGAGAGAAAGAUACUGAGGCCGAUGUUUGAGGUUUGAAGCAGACAGAUCGAUGGCCGGGGGACAGAGACAGGGGUCGGACGGUCCUCAGGGGUUCCGCCGGUGACAUCUCCUGCUGCAGCUCGCCCGGGCCCCGGCUGCCUGCUCGGGGUCAACUAUCCCAGCAGGGCCGUUCUCUCUGGCAGCAGUUACCAAGGUGACAGCAUGUCAGCGCAGCCCCACGGGGGGGGAGCGGGGAGCCCAAUGCAUCACCAGCUCUGAUGGGUUUGUCAAUACUGCUUAGAUCCAGAGGGAGCCGGCCCCGCCGUGACACACACACUCACACUCACACUCACACACACACACACACACACACACACUUUUUUACCCGGAAACACACACGUAGAUGCAAACAACCUUGCACACACACAUGUGGAUGCAAUAUGUGCGACACGGAUGAGAAACACUCGCCGCACACACACACACACACACACAUGCGCAGCAGGAUUCACCCAGCACGUUUACACGGUGGCCUUACACUGAGCCACAAACAUACAAGAAAGACACAAAAGGAAAAUCACAUGCAUUUGCUUACAAUUAGUAAAGGACACAAACACACAUAACUCUUCACUUGUUUUGUACCCGAGUGGUAUUUCCUGGAAACUCAACCACUUGUGGUUCCAACGCCGACACCAAAGCAACUUUUUUUGCACUAAAACGUAACAGUUCACCUUGUGGGACCUGCUUUUUUCUUUUUUUUUUUAUAUGUCAGAAAACCAAACAUGACAUUAGAGAUAUUUGGAAAAGGAGUCGCAAGUUUUAAUCGCUAUCACAUGGCGCAUGCGUUUUGCAUCGUUUCCUGUCAGUGUGAAUCUGUAAAGUGUACUAUCGUGCCUGUACACAGCACAGCGUGUAGUACGUUGUUGUUUUUUUAUGUUCCCACAGUUUAGUUGGUAAGUAAACAGAUUUAAUAAAAGUAAACACCUGUUGACCGUGCACAUGAACAUUGACAUAGGCGUGAUGAGUGUGCGCCUUGGCUGAGAAACACCCAUCAUUGUGUGUCCACAAAUGAUGAUAAGUAGCCUUAUUCACACAUUGAUAUAUAUGUAGCCUAAAAAUACAUGACAUGACGUGGAGACAUUUUCUCAGCAGACACACACACACACACACACACACACACACACACACACACAGCCAUAUGCUCCAUGGCAGAGCGGCGUGGUCGCGGCGGAUCACGCCGUCGGUGCCGGAGUUGAGAGCAGGCCCGGCAAGAUGAAGAACACUGCUGUACCUGGGACCAGAGAGAAAGAGAGAGAGGGGAGAGAGGGGAGGCGAGGGAAGAGAAGGAAGCACGCCCGGGCCGCCUGACUCUGUGUGUCAUUAACCAGAGUGUGAGAGCAGGGAUUGGAAAAGCAGCAGUAGCGGCACCAGCAGCGACUCGGCUUGGCUCUGGGGGGCUGGCGGUGUAACCAUUGCCUAGGCCGUGGAUUGAAUAGAUCACUAAUGAUCGGCCACAGGUAUUUCCAAGUUACACAUUAGAGGCGUUCGCCCGGAAUGAGAUCCCCCCCCCCCCCCCGCGUGGUGGGGCGUUCCAAGUAGAGAGGAAGAGGAAGGUGCGAGGAUAGUGGGGCGCUCGUGGUUCCUCGCUCCGCCAUAUCCAAAUCUGACCAAGCAAUCCUCUUAGCAAGUGAGAGUUGAGUUCUGCCCUUCCCUGGGGGAAAGAAAUAGUCUCUUUUUUUUUCAUACAAAAACCUAUCAUGUCAAAAUUUAAUGCCUGAGAAGGGAGAGGAGAGGAGAGGUAAGAGAUAUUCCGACGGCGGCCUUCACGGAGCUCAUUUGAAGCUAAAGCCAAAACGCCAUACCGUCAAUUCCUCGCCGACGUCUACGUCCGUGAUCUAGAAUUUUCCCCCUACCUUCCUGUUACCGUUAAUGUCAAUUCAAACAGUUCGCAUGCGUUUUGGCGACCGUGACACCAUCGUCUUUGCACAUUGAGCGAAACCCGCAGGUUGCUUGCGGUCGAACGCGCGUCGAACGGCACCCGCUCGCCGAAAAAAUACAAGUAAUUAAUCGGUGCUAUACACCGAGGACACAAUUAUCUUUUCCAGUAACUGGCGCAUAUUUAAUUACCUAGUAAUUGUUCCCCGAGCCUCGUUUCAAAAGUGUGUGCGCGCCAGACAGUUCUGAUAUGUUAUACACUAAUCCUGCACUUGAUGCCGAAGUCAAUUAGGGGAUGUGUGUCAAAGACCAAGCAUGUAAACAGCAUUGCGGAACACACACACACACACACACACACACACACACACACACACACAUCCUUCUGACACGUGACGCCUAUGUGUGUCCUCAGUCACACUCUCGUCCGUCUCGCUGCACUGCACUUUGUUUUCCUCCCUCGGGGCGCGAGUGUCUAUACCUAUCCCCUUCCUUUUCCCGAGGUGUUAAUGCCUGCCAGAUUGGAGGAGAGUCAUUUGAGAUCAUUUUCGCAACAAAGGCCGCGGACACUGAUUAACACGGAGGGGGCUAACUUUCUAGCCGAGUGGCGCGGUCCCAUUUAAAGAAGGCGUCAGGAGCUAAAUUUACUCCCUUGUGCCUUUUGGGGGGGGGGGGGGGGGUAUGUGUGUGUGUGUAUGUGUGUGUGUGUGUGGGGCCGGAGGCUGCAGUGGGGCCCUUGAACAUGAGAACAAGGUUUAAUAAGUAAACAGGCGAAGGUAGAGAACAGUGCUUCUGAUCAGGGCCUACUUGCCCCGCCGAGCCCCCCGGUACGCGCUACUAGCUGAUUAGCCCCGCCGAUUGUACCUUGUAAUUGCAGUGCCUUGACCCCCUCUAGGCAAAUAUUAGAUUUUAGUGGUUUAACCUUUCCAGUCGUCGGAGCGAGGGGUAAAUUGCCCGACCAGAUGUUGAGGAGCCCAGCAGUAGUCCGCAGCCCCGUCCGAUCAGCGGGGGAUGAAGAAGAAAGGAGAAGGAGAAAAAAAGCUCACAGAUUGAACCUUUUUCUUACUAAUAUUGUCCCAAUUUCCUCUUGGCCUUUCAAGCUGAUCUUUUUCUUUUCUCAGCGGUUUCCCUUCCCCGAGAAAUUGUCUCACCCAGAUUCCUUAUCCCCUUCCCUCUGAUGUCGGGGGGUUACGAGCGAGACGUAUUAUUUAAAAUCAGCGCGGUCACAGUCAUUAGAGGGGGAGGGGGGGACGAGUGAUCAAUGAGGAGAUCAGUGGCAGAUAUUAACCCGGCAAUCAGUCCUUCGGCUCAAUCACUCCCGCAAUUUGUCGGCUGGUGAGGUGCAACGCAUCCAUUUGAUCGGGUCUCUUCCCCUAAAUGCUGCAGGAGGGAACAAAAAACAACAACCAUGCUGCUUAUUUACAUGUAAAGAAUCUGGCUUGUAAAGUUGCUCACUCCACUUUUUUGCAGUUGCCCAUUGUGCAAGAGAACGGCAAACCGAUAUCUUUACGAUUGAAGGUGCCAAGACCGCUGCGGUCCAAUUUUCGAAUGCAGCCGUUUUUUUUUCUACAAGAGCCAGUGGAAUACAUUUUUUUCUUUUCUUUUUCCUUUUGUCAUCCAAACGCGAAAAAAGGGAAAAGGCGCCUCUGUCGGUGCGCUACGCAGCGGCGGAUGGAGAACAACAAAUUUGCAGACAAAGCGAGGGGGGGGGGGGGGGGGGGGUGUCAGUGCCGUAAAACCGCCUCACGUUCCAGUCGAGCAGGAGGUCAAACAAGCAGCAACUAUGCAAAAAGCCGUUCCUCGCAUGAAAAGCAUUAUUCUCCGCCGAAUCCCCCCUCUGUAACAAGGCGGAGAUUGAUGUGCGACUGCAUGCGAGAUGCUCGCUGCGAGCGUCCGUCCCGAUGACAAUGGGAACAAUGUAAAAACAACCUCAAAAGGAUGGAAUUCCAGCUUUCUUUUUUUUCCAACUCUCAUCUGCCAUUUAAAACAAUCCACCCCUCCACAUGUAAAUCUCCCGCGGGCCGCAAAAACCGAACAGCUGUGUCUGGUUUUCGAUCAGUCUUCUGCAAACCUGUAGGUGUCGGCGCAGCCAGAAGGUCAGAGGCGCCGCUGGACGAUGAGGCUCGUUCUUUGAUUUGAAGAGAACAAAACCUUCUGAUUUAUAUAUUUUGAUAUGACCUCAGAGCUCGAUUACAAUGGGAAAAGAGUCUACUCCGUGUCUUCGUGCCUGCUCCCGUGGGUGGUUUCACACAUGCUUGUUUGGGUCUGUGGGCCUUUUAAACCCCCCCCCCCCACCGUCUCGGCAGCGCACAUUCUCACAGGCCCAGGCCAUUACACUGGGUGACACUUUUCGGACAGGACGGGGCAUGAGGACGGAAGUUUUUCUUGGGUCGUUCCCAGCAGUUUUCCAGAGAUCUCGGGUUUCUCCUCGUCCAGCCUCGGAUCCCGCUCCCACUUCCUCCCCUCGAACGAGCGUCUCCGGGCCCCUGGUUCACCCCGCAUGUAAUAGUUUCCUUCCUCCCCCGAGCCUCUCACCUGAAAAAAAAAAAAGAGAGAGAGACGGACGGGAGGAGGGGAGGGAAAUGGACAUCUUUUCAUCCCAGCGAUGGACUGAAGUAACCCUUCAGCUGGGGAGGAAACCCAAUACUGCCUGCAGCUUACUGUCUGAGACAGAAAGGGGGGGGGGGACCAAAGUGGUUCCAUGUGAGAGAUGGAAGUGAAGUCUGGGAAAGACAUGGGAUCGACACCCUGAACAGCCCUCCCUCCCCCGUCCUUUUACUCAAACCACCUGACAGAAUCCCAUCCUCAGGUCAUGAAACGCUGAAGAAUGGGCCUUAUAUCGCCGGCAUCUCUCUGGACACCCGAAGAGAUACGAGUCUGCUCCCUGUCAUCCCGAUUAGUGCCGCUCCGCUCCGAGGCUGUAAACAUUUCCGUCUGUGAGAUAUUUGAUGUACUUAAUAUACCAGCACAAACCCACAAGGCCCCUUAGAUCACGAGUGAGUCGCCAGUCGGUUCCACAAUUUCUGUGCCACCUGGGCUAAGUCUGGCUGCCGAGGAAGCUUGGGCGACACAAUCGAAAAGGUCCGGAAGGUUGACUAAAUGGACCCUAUGGUUAGAUGUAUUCUUUUUAAACUCCUCCCAGCUCAUAAUGAUUGUGCAAUUGUGUUUUAUUCAAUUUGAUCCUGCGCAAUUUAUUUCAUUUUCCUCUUGAUUAUGUUAUUAAAUGUUAUUAAUGUUGCUCUUUACCUAAUGCAAAGUACUUCAAAUUGCCUCUGUGUUUUAAAUGUACUAUGCAAAUAAACAAAAACAUGGUUUGUG